GCAUCAAUGGGGUAGUGGUAACCUGGGUCGUUGCCACCGAACAUCGACCCGCCGGGGGUUCAAUUCCCCCUUGAUGCA